rnacentral:rRNA from 1 species
GAUGAACGCUAGCGGGAGGCUUAACACAUGCAAGUCGAGGGGCAGCAUAGGGUAGCAAUACUCUGAUGGCGACCGGCAAACGGGUGAGUAACGCGUAUGCAACCUACCCUGUACAGGGGGAUAACCCGGAGAAAUUCGGACUAAUAUCCCGUAAUAAUAUCCGGAGGCAUCUUUGGAUAUUUAAAGUUCCGACGGUACGGGAUGGGCAUGCGUAACAUUAGCUGGUUGGUAAGGUAACGGCUUACCAAGGCUAUGAUGUUUAGGGGUCCUGAGAGGGUGGUCCCCCAACUGGUACUGAGACACGGACCAGACUCCUACGGGAGGCAGCAGUGAGGAAUAUUGGUCAAUGGGCGCAAGCCUGAACCAGCCAUCCCGCGUGCAGGAAGACGGCCCUAUGGGUUGUAAACUGCUUUUCCAGGGAGAGAAACUUACGCACGUGUUGCGUGACUGACGGUACCUGUAGAAGAAGCCCCGGCUAACUUCGUGCCAGCAGCCGCCGGUAAGCACGAGAGUA